rnacentral:misc_RNA from 1 species
AAAAAAAGGACUCAGGAACAUAGAAAUGAGACAUUUAUGGCGGUCACUUCUCUUCCGAAAGUACCCUCGCUCGUCCCUCAUAACCCCUGCUCAUGCCUCCCAUCAUCAUUUCCAGGUACACUCCUCUUCCCCUUCUCUUCGCUCUUUCAAUUCGCUUCACACGUCUUCACUUCAAGUUCAUUUCGUAGGCCUUAAAAAUCCC